CUCCCUCGUUGCUGACCCCAGGUUCGAUAGUACCAAUUAGGCAUCACCUCGCCAAGAGCCAACUUCGAUGAAGCGACGGGCGGUGUGUGCAAGGG
rnacentral:rRNA from 1 species